AUAUAUAUAUAUAUAUAUCUAUAUUGGUCUCUGCCGAUCUCUGCCGGUCUCUGCCGAGCGGUGGAGGCUGUGUGCUGUUUUUCAAUCGCCCAAACAGGACGAGACCAGCUGUCCAAUUGCUGACAAGAAUAUCAAAGGGUAGGAAUGGGAAUGUAUCCAAUCAGCGUCGACGUUGUUUCAGAACGUUUCAGAAGCAUGAUGGGCGAUGGAGCUACCGCCAAAGGUUUCGUUGGUGUUCGGUAGAACUCGGCAGAGUCGUUUUUGGUCGUGACGCAUGGACGCCGCCAGUGACUACAACCAGCAUGGAUACCGGAUCUCAGCAGCCACUGAAUUCAGUUCGGUCUCUAAUCCAGUAUCCGUUCGAGAGGAGAACUAUGGUGGAAAAACUUAAUGUCAAAGAGCUUGGACCAGAUCAGCCCGACGUAAAGAUAAGCCAGCAGGAGAAGGAGAGAGCUGGGACAGAUAAGGCAUGGAUGAGUCAGGAGUUACAGACAUGAAACAUUUUUCUGAGAAGGUGAAGAAACACGAGUCAUCCCGGGCACACAUGGACAACAACACGGUGAAGCUAGCCAUGCUAGGCAGCAGAGCUAACGUUGCCAUGCAGGAAACAACAGCAGCUGGGUGCAGAGGUUUUUCACACCAUCCUGAGCCAUGCAAAAGAAGAUUCUUGUCACCACACCCAUGACCACAGCCGAAUCAGAGAGGUGCUUUUCUACUUUAAAGAGGAUUAAGACUUUCCUUGAGGAACACCAUGACACAGGAUGGGCUGAAUGCUCUUGCCAUGCUCUCAUGGGAAAAAAAAGCUUGUCACAAACAUUCCUGACUUCAAUAAAAAGCUAAUCGAGAGCUUUGCCACUCAGAAGGACAGAAGGGCAAAAUUUCUGUACAAAUGAGGUAUCACACACACACACAAAUGCAUCCACUUGAUCUUUGUAUAAAGUUGACCUUGGCACAACACUCCAGAAAUAUUUAACAGUGUAAAUUCCUGGCAUUUUGUCUAAGUGGUGUUUACUACCAUUACUGUAACAGUGACCUGCUCAUAAUUUUUUGUGUUCACUCAAAUGUUGAAAUUAAACAAAAUGUUUUUGUUACUUGCCUCUUGCAUUGCCUAUUUACCAUUUAUGGUCAUGUUAUUUUAUGUGCAAUUGAAUGCAGUAUUUUUCAACCUUGGUCUGCAAGGCAGCGUGCCAAUAGUCAGACACACCUGGAUUAAUCAGUUUGUCCAAUGAUGUAAGACAGGAAAUAAAAGAGCUGUGCUUAAUUCAGGAAAUAGUGAAGUUGUGCACAAAGCUCAGAAAGCACAAGUUUGUUUAAAAAAAAUAGCACAGCCCCACCAAAAAUAUUUUUCACCAGCCGCCACUGAUAGCUAGUUUAUAUAGGAAAGCAGAUCAUAGAUGGCACAGGAUUUUGGUAUACCAGGCUACCUAUAUUCAACAGUAAGGUAAAUUUCAUUUUGAAUUCUAGGACCCCUUUAGCUAAAUUAUUUUACAGCAAAAUGAACAUCUAAUCCCAAAUGAAACAUUUAAAAAGGUUAGACAUAAUGUCGGUGAUGUACAAUUCUUAAUCAUGUUUAAAAUGAACACAAAUUAAAAAAUCUGCUGGAAAAAUGUCACAUAGAUGCAGCAAGUCAAUUCACUACAUGACCGCACAAUUGGCCCAAUGAUAAUGCUGCAUGUUCAAAUGAUGCAGGUUUGAAUGAUUGUGGCCUUUCUGUGCAGAGAGUGCACUUUCCACACGUGUGCAUGGAAUUUCCAGCAGUACUUCAGAUUCUUCCCCAAACCCAAAAACAUGCAUGUUAGGUUCUUUGGUGGCUUGUCUCUAG